UUUGGAUGAUGACACGAGAAUGAGUUGGAUUUGUGUUUUUUUAUCGACUUGGCCUAUUUACUCCGUGCGAUCUUUAUUUGGGACUUUGAAGGUUGUUAUGUUGUUGGGCUUGGAUUUUGAUUAAAUUUUACGAUUUGGGCUUUUGAUCUUUGUGUUUUGUGUUUUGGGCUUGUUUAUUUAUUGGAUAUCAAAUUAGGCUUAAUUUUGGUUGUGAAUUUAGGUUUAUUUAUUAAAUUAAGUUUGAAUUAUAAGAUAUUAAAUUUAGAUUUAAUUGGAUUUAUUUUGAUUUAUCACAUUUGGACUAUUUUUGUUUUUGUAUGGGCU
rnacentral:lncRNA from 1 species